rnacentral:tRNA from 1 species
UGUUGGGGUAGCCUAAUGCUAAAGCACUGCACUGAAAAUGCCACAAUGGAAGUUAAAUCCUUUCCCCUGAC